UGCAAUCCAUGAUGCAAAAAUUUCCAAAUUAUUAUGAUUUCUGUGAUUAAUUAAAGAAAAAUCACCAUCUUUCAGCUGAGAUCGCA